rnacentral:rRNA from 1 species
GUAGCGGUGAAAUGCGUAGAGAUCUGAAGGAAUACCGGUGGCGAGGACGGCCCCCUGGACAGAUACUGACACUCAGAUGCGAAAGCGUGGGGAGCAAACAGGAUUAGAUACCCUGGUAGUCCACGCCGUAAACGAUGUCUACUUGGAGGUUGGUGCCUUGAGCCGUGGCUUUCGGAGCUAACGCGUUAAGUAGACCGCCUGGGGAGUACGGUCGCAAGAUUAAAACUCAAAUGAAUUGACGGGGGCCCGCAACAGCGGUGGAGCAUGUGGUUUAAUUCGAUGCAACGCGAAAAAACCUUACCUACUCUUGACAUCCAGAGAACUUUUCCAAAGAUGGAUUGGUGCCUCUCGGGAACUCUGAAACAGGUGCUGCAUGGCUGUCGUCAGCUCGGGUGGGGAAAGUUGGGGUUAAGUCCCGAA